rnacentral:rRNA from 1 species
AUACGUAGGGGGCAAGCGUUAUCCGGAAUCAUUGGGCGUAAAGAGUGCGUAGGUGGUUUCUUAAGCGUGGGGUUUAAGGCUACGGCUUAACCGUAGUUCGCCCCAUGAACUGGGAGACUUGAGUGCAGGAGGGGAAGUGGAAUUCCUAGUGUAGCGGUGAAAUGCGUAGAUAUUAGGAGGAACACCAGUGGCGAAGGCGACUUUCUGGACUGUAACUGACACUGAGGCACGAAAGCGUGGGGAGCAAACAGGAUUAGAUACCCUGGUAGUCCACGUCGUAAACGAUGAGCACUAGGUGUCGGGGAGACAAUCCUCGGUGCCGCAGUUAACGCAUUAAGUGCUCCGCCUGGGGAGUACGUUCGCAAGAAUAAAACUCAAAUGAAUUGACGGGG